CUGGCUCAGGAUGAACGCUAGCUACAGGCUUAACACAUGCAAGUCGAGGGGCAGCACGGGGUAUGGCUUGCCAUUCCCUGGUGGCGACCGGCGCACGGGUGAGUAACGCGUAUCCAACCUGCCCGCAACCGCGGAAUAGCCCGCCGAAAGGCGGAUUAAUGCCGCAUGAGCUCGCGUGGGGGCAUCUGCCCGCGAGCAAAGGUUCACUCCGGUUGCGGAUGGGGAUGCGUCCGAUUAGGCUGCAGGCGGGGCAACGGCCCACCUGGCCUACGAUCGGUAGGGGUUCUGAGAGGAAGGUCCCCCACAUUGGAACUGAGACACGGUCCAAACUCCUACGGGAGGCAGCAGUGAGGAAUAUUGGUCAAUGGGCGCGAGCCUGAACCAGCCAAGUAAGCGUGGGGGAUGACUGCCCUAUGGGUUGUAAACCCCUUUUGCGCGGGGAUAAACCGGCGGACGCGUCCGCCGCUGCAGGUACCGCGCGAAUAAGGACCGGCUAAUUCCGUGCCAGCAGCCGC
rnacentral:rRNA from 1 species